rnacentral:rRNA from 1 species
UAGGGAAUCUUCCACAAUGGACGAAAGUCUGAUGGAGCAACGCCGCGUGAACGAUGAAGGCUUUCGGGUCGUAAAGUUCUGUUGUAAGGGAAGAACAAGUGCCGCAGGCAAUGGCGGCACCUUGACGGUACCUUGCGAGAAAGCCACGGCUAACUACGUGCCAGCAGCCGCGGUAAUACGUAGGUGGCAAGCGUUGUCCGGAAUUAUUGGGCGUAAAGCGCGCGCAGGCGGCCUCUUAAGUCUGAUGUGAAAGCCCCCGGCUCAACCGGGGAGGGCCAUUGGAAACUGGGAGGCUUGAGUAUAGGAGAGAAGAGUGGAAUUCCACGUGUAGCGGUGAAAUGCGUAGAGAUGUGGAGGAACACCAGUGGCGAAGGCGACUCUUUGGCCUAUAACUGACGCUGAGGCGCGAAAGCGUGGGGAGCAAACAGGAUUAGAUACCCUGGUA